rnacentral:rRNA from 1 species
UGAACGCUGGCGGCAGGCCUACCACAUGCAAGUCGAACGGUAACAGGAAGCAGCUUGCUGCUUUGCUGACGAGUGGCGGACGGGUGAGUAAUGUCUGGGAAACUGCCCGAUGGAGGGGGAUAACUACUGGAAACGGUAGCUAAUACCGCAUAACGUCGCAAGACCAAAGAGGGGGACCUUAGGGCCUCUUGCCAUCGGAUGUGCCCAGAUGGGAUUAGCUAGUAGGUGGGGUAACGGCUCACCUAGGCGACGAUCCCUAGCUGGUCUGAGAGGAUGACCAGCCACACUGGAACUGAGACACGGUCCAGACUCCUACGGGAGGCAGCAGUGGGGAAUAUUGCACAAUGGGCGCAAGCCUGAUGCAGCCAUGCCGCGUGUAUGAAGAAGGCCUUCGGGUUGUAAAGUACUUUCAGCGGGGAGGAAGGGAGUAAAGUUAAUACCUUUGCUCAUUGACGUUACCCGCAGAAGAAGCACCGGCUAACUCCGUG